GGGGCGGGGGCGCGGGGCGGGAGGGGCCUGAGGUUUUCCGCGAAGCAGGUGCGUCGGCGGGCAGCGCUCGCCGAGGUUCUGAGUUUAGCUCCUGGGAUGGAAUAGGGGAAGGCGCUAAUCGAUUACAGGAGUCCCCUGCCGAGAUCGCGGGCUCCGGGCGCGACGCUGACAAAUCGGGGAGCCUGCUCCAGUGUGCGAAGAAAUGCUAAUGAGAGACGUGACCCAAGAGGUCCCAAGGGAGCAAACCUGAAAGCCCAGCGCCUCUUGAACACACAGACUGCCAGGGGGCGAGAUGAUAUUAGCCACUGUUUCCAGAUAGAAGAAGCAUCGCUUCCUCCAGCAGAUUGAUAGAUGAAGCGUAAAACAGGACCAGAUGCUGUGGUUUCCAGGAUGCAGUUGGCUUCCCAUGCUUUAUGACCUGGAGCACUUAUUGCUUUUGAAACUCCUACUCUGAGAUUUCUCCCCAGCAGCAGAAUUGCUAGUGUUCGAGUCUCCUAUGCCGUGUGACCGUUUCUCCAAAUCCAUGUCGCUGAGGAUGUUGCUCUGGUUCUCAAGGACUCAGGAGAGGUUCCCUUUUGAGGAUCCCCAUACAUGAUUCAUAGGAGUCUUCUAACUUUGGGAAAACCCCAUGGUCAUUGUAUUUAAAUGACUGGUGGCCAGUAAGUGGGCAUCCUGAGUCUCCAUCAGCCACGGUGGCACAAGAACAGCACUCUCCUUGGUUGGCGGUCUGUGCCCUGAAGCAGAAAUGCCUUUAAUUGUUCAUUGCGAACCAAACAGAUGUCUAGAGGAGAAGGUUAUUAAAAAUAUUUUGUGCAGUUUGGGAGAACUAGAAGUCUGGAUUGCUUGACCUAACCUCACCAGGCAAACCCAAGACAAGGAAGCUACCAAGGUGCUCUUCAUCUUCAGAAACAAUGAUGCCUCAGAUGCCAGAAGGAUGUCCUGAAGCGAAAGAUUUGUAGGAGUGAGGCACGGGAAACCUUGACUCCUUCUCUAUGUCCCUCCUACACCUAGACGAAAGAGGGCGACUCUGGGAUGCACCCGGCAAAUGCACCAACACCUGCUGAUAGAUACAAAUUAUUAUCUUUUUCUAUUCUUGGAAGAGCUAAAAGCAGAAUAUAUGUUCCAUAGGACUAUAAUUAGAGUUAGUACCAAAAGGACCAGAGUAGAAUAUAAAAUAGCCAGUGUUAGGUUGGAUAGUAAAAUAGUCAAAGCUAAUUUGUCAUGUUAGGUCUUUUCUUUCCCAUCACCCUCUGGUUCAGUUUCUGAACACAGUGACCCCAUGCAUGCCUGUUCCUGCUCUGUGGUUCUUCCAGGAAUACCCGGCCCCACCCUUGUUUCUCUGAGAGUGAUCAUUUCAUACAGCACACCUCUCUACUGGGACAUGAAGGGAGACCCAAGUGCUGUGUGCAGUAGCUCCGGGAGACCUUAGACACAAGAAGGGAAAGUUCUUUUUUAGGGUAUGGUUACUUGCAGUGCCUUCUGGAGAUAUGUCUUGGGCAAAAAACAUCUUUAUUUAAAAGAACAGCAAUAUUUGUAAUUAGGAUAAGCAAAAUAAGGGGAAAAGCCUUGGACCCUUGGAAUAAUAGGAUGGUUUAAAAUUCAGACCUAUAAUUAUUAUAUUUUUCUAUUCUGUGUGAUUUAGAAAACAGUGGUUAAACAGAUAAAAAUAGAAAAGAUUGCUUAAAAAUUAAAGCCAUUGAUUUAGAUCUUUAUUUGAAAGGUCAGUGUGUGGGAGCUGAGAAAGGCAGUAUAGUGAUCAGCGUUCAACAAAAGACAUUUUAGCAGCAGAACCUACAAAGAGCACAUCAACUAUUUAUAUCGCCCACAUCAAGUUGCUGGUUAUUUCAUUUAUCAAAAAAAAAAAAAAGAAAGUUAUUUUCUUUGGACAUUCUUUGGGUGCAGUAACAAUACAGUUUUGGAAUCAGCUGUUAGAAACUAUAAUUAAAGCUGGUUUAUCAUGUUUACUAA